AGCACAAUACACAAGUCACUCCCACACAGGUGUGAUCCAUCUGGGUUACCUUGGCCAUGCUCAGCGGGUCAUGUCGGAAUCUCUGUUUGUUUUUCUGCAGUUUUCCGGGCAUCAUCUUGCCUGUGCGAAAGUCAAAACAUGCCAGAUCCACUGUAUUUCCAAGGUAACGGGACAGCUGGGGCUUACUCCGGAACUUCUUUCCUGAAGGACUGGAGGAUAAAAUGGAAAGGACGCUAUCAUUAAAAAGUCAUACUUAUAACAUCAUAAAGAGAACCUAUACUACAUUACCAAUGAUGAGUGCCUAACAUGGCCUGGGGUCAGUGUGUGCACAGGUAGAGUCAAUGAGAGGAAAGCUGAAUUAAAGGGAUAAAAAAAAAUUCAGACAGAACAUGAACUGAGAGGCUGUAAACAUCUUGAUGCAUGCUCAAUCAUCCAGCUGAGUGAAAAACCCUGUUCCUUUGGUUAUAAUCCCAUUUCCAAACAAUCUGAAGUCCUUCAUUCUACCGUGAGAAAGCUUAUUCACAAGUGGAAAACAUUCAAGACAGUCGCCAGUAUUGAGUGGACAUCCCAGCAAA